AUACUUACCUGGCAGGGGAGAUACCAUGAUCACAAAGGUGGUUUUCCCAGGGCGAGGCUUAUCCAUUGCACUCCGAAUGUGCUGACCCCUGUGAUUUCCCCAAAUGUGGGAAACUCAACUGUAUAAUUUGUGGUAGUAGGGGACUGCAUUCCUGCUCUCCCCUG
rnacentral:snRNA from 1 species